UACGUAGGCAGCGAGCGUUGUUCGGAAUUACUGGGCGUAAAGAGUGUGUAGGCGGUGCUCUAAGUUCGGUGUGAAAUCUCCUGGCUCAACUGGGGAGGGUGCGCCGGAAACUGGAGUGCUUGAGCGUGGGAGAGGAAAGCGGAAUUCCUGGUGUAGCGGUGAAAAUGCGUAGAUAUCAGGAGGAACACCUGUGGUGUAGACGGCUUUUCUGGACCAUAGCUGACGCUGAGACACGAAAAGCGUGGGGUAGCAAACAGG
rnacentral:rRNA from 1 species